rnacentral:lncRNA from 1 species
GAAAGAUAAAGCUAUAUCAAAGCUAACUCUCUAUGAAGUGGUUACUGCUAGCAAAAGGGAUCUGAUUUAAACAAUAGGGGAAAAAAAAUCUUGUGGGAAAUUGAAAGAAGGGUACAACAUGUCCUUUGCCUGCAUGUUUGUACUAGUUCCCAUAGCUGGGAAGAUGAUUUAAUACACAGUUUGUGCAACCUGUUUUUCUGGUAAUUACAAAUUAAGACAUAUGUCUUUACAGUAGCAAGAAGCUAACUGCCACUUUUAAGCAUUCCUCUGGCCCUGCUGAGUUAACUCCAUUACUCAAAAUCUCAACAAAGGUAAUUUCUAACAGAGCAUCCUGCUCCUAAGUUUUCCUUUUGCUGUGUUUCUUCCUUUCGAACUGCAGGAAUGCUAACUAGAAAUGGAAGUAUCCCAUCAAACUGCUAGGCUUACUUCUUCUACAGUGCAGGCCUCUAUAAUAUUAUAUACAUGCCAGAAAGUCAUGAAGGAAAAAAAAAAAGAAAUUUAGGCAUCAUGUCCAGACAAAUUAUAGCCUGCUUUUCUGUUUUCUUGCCUUUCUUUACUAUUUAAUUCAUCAAAUAAAAAGAUUUUUAGAUGCUCAUUGUUGGUACACUUAUAAAUUAAUUUCAUGCAUAUACACAGGUUUUAAAUUCACAUACACAGAACAUGACUACUACAUAAAGUGCAAAGAAACAAAGCUAUUUUUAAGUUAGUCAAUUAACAUUACACUGUCUAGAAAGAGUUAAGACCAUACUAACUUUUAAACUUGUGCAACUGGAAAGCAUUAACUCUUCAGUAAUAAGUAGGCAGUUUGUUUACUGAUAAAUUAUUUUCCUAAAAGUGUCUAUCGAUAAUAAAAGUUUGAGACCAGAACAAAAGAACAAGGA